rnacentral:tRNA from 1 species
CGGAAUGUAGCGCAGUUGGAAGCGCGUUUGUUUUGGGAACAAGAGGCCAUGCGUUCGAAUCGCAUCAUUCCGA